CCCAAGGAAUCCAGUAAUUUACAGACCUGGUAACAACAGUGCACACAAAGAAACCCUGUAUGAAGCAAUUAUACCUCCCAUGUAUAGGAACACGAGACAUACCAAAACCUGUGAUCGGUCGCAGUCUGAGUGUUCAGUCGCGGUCUGAGUGUUAAGAUGGCUACCGAUAGCUACAACUAGCUAGCAGAGGAGUGCGCUAUGCAAGACAACAUUACAAUCACCAGUGAACUGGAGAACGGGAACUACAACAGGAGAAUUGUAUUUAUUUUGGGGCAAUAAAAACCACCAUUGAUUUAGACACCUGCGUGAUGAUCAGACUGCGGCCAUUCAUCCUGAAAUAAUCCCAUUGUCCGGCGGAGGCUUCAGCACAGACAAUGAUUGUAUUUAAAAAUCACCAUAUUUGCUGCAUUUCGAGACGUUUCUUGUGCCUGACAUUCACCGUGACUGGCCAAAAAUAAUAAUUUCCCAAUGCUGAUAGAGUCAAAUGAUAUUCCCAGCAAAAUCUCACUACAUGCACAGAUGUAGCAGAGAUGAACUAGUCAUUUCAUUGUUCUUUGUGUGCUCCACCAUCUCUUAAGAUUUAUCUGAAGCCCCAUGGAAAUCUACAAAAAGGACAUUUUGAUGUCAGGGCACAUUAUGUGCAAAACUUAUCUCUAAUGCAUUGCCAAACUUGGCUCUGCUACAUACGUGUAUCUGAAUCUUUGUGUCUCUUAUCUUGUAGUAGCCAGAGUAUAGGGUGAGGGGUAUUUCCUUUAUAAAAGGAAAUAUUCUGAAUGAUUUUGGCUGUCAAACUGAUUUAAUUUCAUCCAAGAAAAUAGAAAUGGAAAGAUGGAUUUAUUUUUUUUGCUUUACACAGUAACAGGUUACACCAGAAUGUGCCUUAUUAUGUGACUAUUAAAGAAGUAUAAUUUAUGCACACGUGAGGCAGAAUGCAAGUCUGAGAUGCUAUUUGGCAUAACCAGCUAUAAUAUCAAAAUUUGUUACCUGCCAUUUUCCAUAGAAGUGCAGAUAAACAUGUUCAGUUAUAUCAACAGCUGUCAGAAACAGUGCUAUCUGCGUUCUGUUAUUCAUCUAUUAAAGAAUU